GGGAGGGAGUGUACAGCACAGUCUCGGCAAUCUACUCACUAAAGAAUUAAGCCUGAAUAAUUGUCCAUGUCUGUGAAGCAUCUUGGUUUCUUUUAUUUAAAAUGAGUCAGUUCUGUCAAUCGUCCAGUUUCCAGUUAAGUGAAUAAGCCCCAUUUAAUUUCUGUGGCAGGCGACAGAAGCUUUGCUGUGAUAUUUUGUUCGAAUCCUGAGUGACGUCACCAUGGUUUACCUCUGGCUGAUUAUGGCUUAAUGUAGACUGGCGAACCUCUGCUGUGGUUAUUCACCAUUAAAUUUCACCAGCCUCAACUCUCCAAUCUCACUGAAACCUCCACUGCCUUGAUCUCCAGCAUUUCUACUCCAAACUCUCCUUCUACCCAUCUCAAAUCUCACUUGCCCUCACUCUGCAACCUCACU